CUCGGGGAGGAGGGCCCUUCAGCCUGGAUUGCGAGAGGACAUAGGCCAGGCCGAGGGACCCCACAGGUGCAUG
rnacentral:pre_miRNA from 1 species